CGGCGGACGGGUGAGUAACACGUGGAUAACCUACCUAUAAGACUGGGAUAACUUCGGGAAACCGGAGCUAAUACCGGAUAAUAUAUUGAACCGCAUGGUUCAAUAGUGAAAGACGGUUUUGCUGUCACUUAUAGAUGGAUCCGCGCCGCAUUAGCUAGUUGGUAAGGUAACGGCUUACAAGGCAACGAUGCGUAGCCGACCUGAGAGGGUGAUCGGCCACACUGGAACUGAGACACGGUCCAGACUCCUACGGGAGGCAGCAGCC
rnacentral:rRNA from 1 species